GACAAAAUGGGGCUGAGGACACAGGGUUUGAUAAGGGGGGAAAGGGGCGGGUCUGAGGGCCAAGGGCCAAUGGGAACUGAGCACAGGUGGUGCAGAGGAGGGGCAGCCAACUGGGGAACCAAUGAGGUAACAGGGGCGGAGCAUUGCAGUAAACCGGGACCAAGAGAGGGGAGAACAUUCUAGGCGGAGUACAUAUAGGGAAAAAUGGCAGCUGGACUGGGUGAUACCCAUGAAGCUGCUGCAUUCACAUGAGCCUGAAAAUGCUGAUGGCAGCUUUAGGACACGCGACAUGGAGAAGCCAGAGCCCACUCUCAGCUUUGUGCAGCCCUCCAGAAGAAUCCUGUGUGUGAAGCAGCCUGGGAACAGGGUUUGGUGUCAGGGGAGGGGAACUCAGAGCCUUUUUCUGCCCUGUGGGCUGAGGGUCUGCAUUUGCAAUGGCCCUGCAGCUGCCAAAGGGGCUCAGCUGAGAACAGUUCUGCUGAAAGUCUGUCCUAAACCUGCUUUUCCUGCAAAUGUGCUUAAUGAAUCCUCAACUUUUGUAACUCCCUGUCUUGUGUGAGUGCAGGUGUGACAGCUGAAGGAUGGAAGAGCUCUGCUGGGGGGAAGUUCUCUUUUUCUUUUUCUUGGUUUUUUUUUUCCCUUUGGUUUGGUUUUAAUCUUUGUUUUGGUUUGGUUUGUUUAUUUUUGUUGGCUUUUAUUUUUUUUUGUUUGGGUUGGGUUUUUUUUUUGUUUUUGUUGUUGCUUAGGUGAUAGGUUUUUUGUUUUCAUAUAGUGUUGUUAGUUUUUUUGUUGGUUUUCUGCAACUGUGUCUGACACCUGUCUGUGGCACUGUGCAGGUGGCCAGAGGGACCUUCCCCAAGCUGUGUGCAGAGGAAUCCACAUCAGCCUAGGCCGGGCUGGUGUCCUAGGUUGACUAUAUGAUGCUUUUAUCCCCAAUCGUCUUGUUCUGUUUAUACUGAAUAAUAAGUUUUACACCUUUAAGACUCUCUUCCAGACAGUGAGGAGGGGAUGGAAGAAGCGCGCAGUUUGUUUUCAGACUGCUCUCACUCCUCCACAUUCCUGCUCCUGGACUGUGUUGUCUGCGGAUGGACAGACAGCCGGACAGAGCUGCUUUUUCCCUUUUUUUUUUUUUUGCUUUUAGUUAGUUUUAGCUAGCUGAGGCAAAGAAGCUCCCUGGACUGUGUUUUUUUCCUUUUUGCUUGGGCCUGUUCAAGCCUGCUCUGCACUCAACACCCAGAAGAGCACUGGGAGCUCCACCUGUGGCCCCCCUGGCCAGGCCUGGGCAGCAACAUUUCCAGCACCAGAGAGACUGAUCAGAGACUGAGUGAGCCGAGCUGCAACCCGGGGAGGGGACUGUUCUGAGUUUGUUUUCUUUGGAGCAGUGAGAAGUUUUAUCGUUUAAUAUUGUUUGGUUUCUAUUGUUUAAUAAACAGUUUUCUUUCCAC